UACAGAGGGUGCAAACGUUGCUCGGAAUCAUUGGGCGUAAAGCGCACGUAGGCGGCCCAGCAAGUGGGGAGUGAAAGCCCUCGGCUUAACCGAGGAAGUGCUUUCCAAACUACUGGGCUUGAAUACUGGAGAGGGUCGCGGAAUUCCCGGUGUAGCGGUGGAAUGCGUAGAUAUCGGGAAGAACACCAGUGGCGAAGGCGGCCGGCUGGACGGCACCUGACGCUGAGGCGCG
rnacentral:rRNA from 1 species